rnacentral:lncRNA from 1 species
AUGAGUACUGCAGAUCCCCUCUUGGUCCUGAUCCCCUUCUACAGGGAGGUUUGUGUCUGGGCUCACACUGAGGUCGCCUCACAGUGUCCUUCACACAGUAAUACACGGCUGUGUCCUCGGCUCUCAGGCUGUUCAUUGCAGAUACAGCAUGUUCUUGGCGUUGUCUCUGGAGAUGGUGAAUCGGCCUUUCAUUGCGUCGGUGUAGCUUGUGCUACUUCCAUCAUAGCUAAUCCGUGCAACCCCCUGCAUCCCCUUCCCUGGAAUUUGGUGGGUCUAGUACAUGUAGUAGCUACUGCAGGUGAAUCCAGAGGCCACACAGGACAGUCUCAGGGACCCCCCAGGCUUCACCAGGUCUCCCCCAGACUCCACCAGCUACAGGAGAGUCUCAGGGACCCCCCAGGCUUCACCAGGUCUCCCCCAGACUCCACCAGCUGCACUUCACCCUGGACACCUGCAGAAACACAUCCUGGUCAGGAUACUGUCCCACAUCCCCAGUUUCUCUCACAUAUCUCCACUCACAGACUCAAUGUCUUUGGUUCUCUAUGAAUUACCUUUUAAAAUAGCAACAAGGAAAACCCAGCCGAGCACAGACUCCAUGGUGGUUUGUCUGCGUUGUGUCCUGAUCACUGAAUAGGGUCACCUGGGGAUCCUGAGGCUGGGACUGCUCUCCCGGCCACAGGGUCAGGACUGGGCUGGUUUAAUCAGUGGAGGGAGGUCCUUAUUUGCAUAUCCU